rnacentral:lncRNA from 1 species
GUGAAUACUGCCUGCUGUGCUGUGAAUGAAUCUUGUAAACACAAUCAAAUGCAUCUCUCCCUUUCUCCUUCAUUCAGCGACCCCCCCCCCCCACUUACAAUCCUGCUCCGGGAGGCAAUUCCUGCCCCUCCCCUCCCAUUGUCACAGCAGUUCCUGUUUAUCGUGGGUGACAUCUUCAGCUUCAACGCAGCGUGAGCCCUGCCAUGUUGGAACUGUUCUUCGAGCCUCAGCCUUUUCGAUUAAAGCCGCUUCAUGAAUAACGAAGGAUAAAUAAAGUCAAUGUCGCCCUUUUCUCAGAGAAAACAGUAUGAGAGCUUCCCAUUUCGUGUCUACUGUGAAGACCUUCCAAAGCACACGAGUCAUGUGACUCUGAAGCUGCUGGAAUGUUCUAGAAGGAGACUCACCAAUCUCCCUGAGGGCUCCGGGGGAAUUGAUGAACUGUGGACAGACCUCCAGGUGUGGAUCUUCAUCUUGACAGACCGGUGUUGCCUUUUGAAAUCUUUUGUGGUCUUCCCAUUGUUCUUCUGAACUCCUUUGAAAAGGCAGCGAGCCACUUUCCUGCUAUCUGAAGCCAGCUCUUCGUAAUGAGGUGAUAUAAUUUAACACUUACCGUAAUACAUUUUAUCCAUCUAUUGUUUGCUAAAUAAUUCCUGCAAUAACACUUUUAUUCUUUCCAUAAUUCUUCAGGGCCAUGCUGGAGGAAUAAUAUUUUUACUGUGGUGAUUGAUGACAGGUCCCUGUG